rnacentral:rRNA from 1 species
GACGAACGCUGGCGGCGUGCUUAACACAUGCAAGUCGAACGGAAAGGCCCUGCUUUUGUGGGUUGCUCGAGUGGCGAACGGGUGAGUAACACGUGAGUAACCUGCCCUUGACUUUGGGAUAACUUCAGGAAACUGGGGCUAAUACCGGAUAGGAGCUCCUGCUGCAUGGUGGUGGUUGGAAAGUUUCGGCGGUGGGGGAUGGACUCGCGGCUUAUCAGCUUGUUGGUGGGGUAGUGGCUUACCAAGGCUUUGACGGGUAGCCGGCCUGAGAGGGUGACAGGCGACAUUGGGACUGAGAUACGGCACAGACUCCUACGGGAGGCAGCAGUGGGGAAUAUUGCACAAUGGGCGGAAGCCUGAUGCAGAAACGCCGCGUGCGGGAUAACGGCCUUAGGGUUGUAAACCGCUUUCGCCUGUGACGAAGCGUGAGUGACGGUAAUGGGUAAAGAAGCACCGGCUAACUACGUG